rnacentral:rRNA from 1 species
UGCCGUGGGCGCUGGAGAACUGAGGGGGGCUGCUCCUAGUACGAGAGGACCGGAGUGGACGCAUCACUGGUGUUCGGGUUGUCAUGCCAAUGGCACUGCCCGGUAGCUAAAUGCGGAAGAGAUAAGUGCUGAAAGCAUCUAAGCACGAAACUUGCCCCGAGAUGAGUUCUCCCUGACCCCUUAAGAGUCCUGAAGGAACGUUGAAGACGACGACGUUGAUAGGCCGGGUGUGUAAGCGCAGCGAUGCGUUGAGCUAACCGGUACUAAUGAACCGUGAGGCUUAACCUU